rnacentral:rRNA from 1 species
AUGGAGGCAACUCUGAUCCAGCGAUACCGCGUGAAGGAAGACGGCCUUAUGGGUUGUAAACUUCUUUUAUACAGGAAGAAACCUUUCCACGUGUGGAAAGCUGACGGUACUGUAAGAAUAAGGAUCGGCUAACUCCGUGCCAGCAGCCGCGGUAAUACGGAGGAUCCAAGCGUUAUCCGGAAUUAUUGGGUUUAAAGGGUCCGCAGGCUGUUUGUUAAGUCAGAGGUGAAAUCCUACCGCUCAACGGUAGAACUGCCUUUGAUACUGGCAAACUUGAGUUAUUGUGAAGUAGUUAGAAUGUGUAGUGUAGCGGUGAAAUGCAUAGAUAUUACACAGAAUACCGAUUGCGAAAGCAGAUUACUAACAAUAUACUGACGCUGAGGGACGAAAGCGUGGGUAGCGAACAGGAUUAGAUACCCUGGUAGUCCACGCCGUAAACGAUGGUCACUAGCUGUUCGAUGUACAUUGGUACAUUGAGUGGCUAAGCGAAAGUGAUAAGUGACCCACCUGGGGAGUACGCUCGCAAGAGUGAAACUCAAAGGAAUUGACGGGGGCCCGCACAAGCGGUGGAGCAUGUGGUUUAAUUCGAUGAUACGCGAGGAACCUUACCAGGACUUAAAUGUAAGUUGCAUGAUUCAGAAAUGGAUCUUUCUUCGGACUACUUACAAGGUGCUGCAUGGUUGUCGUCAGCUCGUGCCGUGAGGUGUCAGGUUAAGUCCUAUAACGAGCGCAACCCCUAUCGUUAGUUGCCAUCAAGUAAAGUUGGGAACUCUAGCGAAACUGCCGGUGCAAACCGUGAGGAAGGUGGGGAUGACGUCAAAUCAUCACGGCCCUUACGUUCUGGGCUACACACGUGCUACAAUGGCCGGUACAGAAAGCAGCCACUAUGCGAAUAGGAGCUAAUCUUCAAAGCCGGUCUCAGUUCGGAUCGCAGUCUGCAACUCGACUGCGUGAAGCUGGAAUCGCUAGUAAUCGGAUAUCAGCCAUGAUCCGGUGAAUACGUUCCCGGGCCUUGUACACACCGCCCGUCAAGCCAUGGAAGCUGGGGGUACCUAAAGUCGGUGACCGAAAGGAGCCGCCUAGGGUAAAACUAGUAACUGGGGCUAAGUCGUAACAAGGUAGCCGUACCGGAAGGUGCGGCUGGAAUACCUCCUUUCU